CCUGCCCCUUGAGGUGGCGCCUGUGUGGCUGCUAUGUCGCAUGUGCGUCAUUAGGUCGCUAAGAGGAGAGAGACUGUGUCUACACAUAGUGUUCUGACCUGUGACCAUCUGAAUGGUUAGUAGUCAAACAGU